GAAACAUCAGCAGUUUCUCCUAAGAAAAACGUUCCCUUCCUUGGAUUGACUUAGUACAGAACAGCUGGGGAGACAGAUCACUUACCAUGCAUUGCUCUGAGCUUUCUCCUUCCCUGCUCAGAUGAGGGAAGAUGCUGGAUUUGUGCCUCUGAACCUGCAACUUUGUGACAACUAUGAAGCCUCCAGAGGAGAAGAAACUCCUGAAUGAAGCAGACCUCAGAUGUGAUGAAGUGGACCCCAUAUGUGAGGAUGUUAACAGAGCCUGUGGAAUGCCAUACCAAAUCCCAAUGUACCUGUAUUGACACAGUUACAUUGUGGUCCAGGGUAGAGGUUCAGAAUCCAUCACAAAUUCAGAACAUGGCUACUAUAAUGCAGAGAUGUUUGUUUUCUCCUGGGUGAAAUCCUAGACCAGUGACCUGUGCUCAGACUGAGUAAGAUGCCAACUGCCGCUCCAGAGCUGAGAUUUCUCUCCCCACAGAUGAUGUCACAAUAAAAACACCUGAAUAUUCCAGAAAUGUUCUAUGCUA